ensembl:lncRNA
UAGAAGAGGAAUAAACUAAUAAUCUACUUUGGCUGAAUUGGAUGCCUGAUUACUUGUGGAUCUGGUCUAUCGGGAUCGGCCGUGUAUGUCGAGACUAUCGAAGAAGACAAAUAUGAACGCAUCCUCGCUUCCUGAUGUUUGACCUCAAACCUGUCCACCGUCCACCAUCAAUCACAGAUCACAGCUCUGUCCCACUUUUCCCAGUUAGUCAGCAGUGUUCCUGGAGCGUGGUGCUGCGCGAGCGGGAAAACCACAUCCUGUUGGAGCAGGUCAGCCUGGAGCCUGACACCUGUGAGAGCCCGUGUUCCAUCACCACCACCACCGUCAUCAUCGCCUUCCGCCUUCCACUCCCACUCGCUGCGCUCCCACACAUCUACCGCCAGUUCACG